GGCAGCAGUGGGGAAUUUUCCGCAAUGGGCGAAAGCCUGACGGAGCAAGACCGCGUGGGGGAAGAAGGCUCUUGGGUUGUAAACCCCUUUUCUCUGGGAAGAACACAAUGACGGUACCAGAGGAAUCAGCAUCGGCUAACUCCGUGCCAGCAGCCGCGGUAAGACGGAGGAUGCAAGCGUUAUCCGGAAUGAUUGGGCGUAAAGCGUCCGCAGGUGGCAGUUCAAGUCUGCUGUCAAAGACCGGGGCUCAACCUCGGAAAGGCAGUGGAAACUGAACAGCUAGAGUAUGGUAGGGGCAAAGGGAAUUCCUGGUGUAGCGGUGAAAUGCGUAGAGAUCAGGAAGAACAUCGGUGGCGAAGGCGCUUUGCUGGACCAUAACUGACACUCAGGGACGAAAGCUAGGGGAGCGAAUGGGAUUAGAUACCC
rnacentral:rRNA from 1 species